UCAAGUAAGGAAGAGCAUAAGGUGAAUGCCUUGGCACUGGGAGCCGACGAAGGACGUGACAAGCUGCGAUAAGCUCUGGUUAGGCGCAAAUAGCCGUUUGACCCAGAGAUCUCCGAAUGAGGAAACUCACCUACUUUAAUAGGUAGGUACCGUACAGUAAAUUCAUAGCUGUACGGAGGGAACGCGGGGAACUGAAACAUCUAAGUACCCGUAGGAAAAGAAAGAAACAUCGAUUCCCCAAGUAGCGGCGAGCGAACGGGGAAGAGCCCAAACCGAGUCUUAGGACGAGGGGUUGUGGGCCGUCAAUAUCAUGAACGAUUGAUAGUCGAAUAGUGUUGGAAAGCACAGCGAUACAGGGUAAUAGCCUCGUAGACGAAAUCAAGCGUGAUUGUAGACGGUACCAGAGUAGCACCGGACACGUGUAAUCCGGUGUGAAGCAGGAGGGCCCACCCUCCAAGGCUAAAUACUACCCAGUGACCGAUAGCGUAUAGUACCGUGAGGGAAAGGUGAAAAGAACCCCGGGAGGGGAGUGAAAUAGAAUCUGAAACCUUAUGCUUACAAGCAAAGGGAGCGCAAGUGACCUUGUACUUUUUGUAGAACGGGCCAACGAGUUAUGGUGUGCGGCAGGUUAAGUCGUGAUGCGACGGAGCCACAGCGAAAGCGAGUCUCAAAUGGGCGAAAUGAUUGUCGUAUGCUGUAGACCCGAAACCGGGUGACCUAUCCAUGUGCAGGUUGAAGCGAGAGUAAAGUCUCGUGGAGGACCGAACCCAUGUCUGUUUAAAAAGGCUGGGAUGACGUGUGGAUAGCGGUGAAAUUCCAAUCGAACUCGGAUAUAGCUGGUUCUCCUCGAAAUAGCUUUAGGGCUAGCCUCAUGAUAAGAUACCCGGGGGUAGAGCACUGAAUGUUCGCGGGGCCUUCACCGGUUACCAACAACUAUCAAACUCCGAAUACCGGAAUAUCAUUCAUGGGAGUCAGACUGUGUGAGAUAAGUUUCAUGGUCGAAAGGGAAACAGCCCAGAUCAACAGCUAAGGUCCCAAAAUGUAAGUUAAGUGGAAAAGGAUGUGAAGUUGCGAAAACAACCAGGAUGUUGGCUCAGAAGCAGCCACUCAUUCAAAGAGUGCGUAACAGCUCACUGGUCGAGUGACUUCGCGCCGAAGAUAAACGGGGCUUAAACUUACUACCGAAGCUUUGGGUUCAUAGUUUACUAUGAGCGGUAGAGGAGCAUCGUGUACGGGUCGAAGUCGUUUCGUAAGGAACGGUGGACUGUACACGAGAGAGAAUGUUGGCAUGAGUAGCGAGAGACGGGUGAGAAUCCCGUCCACCGAAUAUCUAAGGUUUCCUGAGGAAGGUUCGUCCGCUCAGGGUAAGUCGGGACCUAAGCCGAGGCCGAAGGGCGUAGGCGAUGGACAACAGGUUGAGAUUCCUGUACCACCAAUGUUCGUUUGAACGAUGUGGGGACGCAGAAGGAUAACAUAUGCGCGCCGUUGGUUGUGCGCGCCCAAGCAGAGAGGCUUGAGAGUAGGCAAAUCCGCUCUCUUUAAGGCUGGGCUGUGAUGGGGAGGGAAAUUUAGUACCGAAGUGUGUGAUUUCAUGCUGCCAAGAAAAGCCACUAGUGAGAGCAAAGGUGCCCGUACCGCAAUCCGACACAGGUAGAUGAGGAGAGAAUCCUAAGGUGAGCGAGAGAACUAUUGUUAAGGAACUCGGCAAAAUAACCCCGUAACUUCGGGAGAAGGGGUGCCUGCUUCGGCAGGCCGCAGUGAAAAGGCCCAGGCGACUGUUUACCAUAAACACAGGUCUCUGCUAAAGCGCAAGCUGAAAUAUAGGGGCUGACGCCUGCCCGGUGCCGGAAGGUUAAGGGGAUCUGUCAUCGCAAGAGAAGCAGUGAACUUAAGCCCCGGUAAACGGCGGCCGUAACUAUAACGGUCCUAAGGUAGCGAAAUUCCUUGUCGGGUAAGUUCCGACCUGCACGAAUGGCGUAACGAUCUGGGCACUGUCUCAACAAUAGACUCGGUGAAAUUGUAGUACCGGUAAAGAUGCCGGUUACCCGCAGCAGGACGGAAAGACCCCGUGGAGCUUUACUGCAGCUUGAUAUUGGGUUUCGGCAUUGCAUGUACAGGAUAGGUGGGAGGCACUGAAGCGAGGACGCCAGUUUUCGUGGAGCCACCGUUGGGAUACCACCCUUGUAAUGUUGAGGUUCUAACUUUGCGCCGUUAUCCGGCGUGAGGACAGUGUCAGGCGGGCAGUUUGACUGGGGCGGUCGCCUCCUAAAGAGUAACGGAGGCGCCCAAAGGUUCCCUCAGCGCGGACGGAAAUCGCGCGUAGAGUGUAAAGGCAAAAGGGAGCUUGACUGCGAGACAUACAGGUCGAGCAGGGACGAAAGUCGGGCUUAGUGAUCCGGCGGUGCCGAGUGGAAGGGCCGUCGCUCAACGGAUAAAAGCUACCCCGGGGAUAACAGGCUUAUACCCCCCAAGAGUCCACAUCGACGGGGGUGUUUGGCACCUCGAUGUCGGCUCGUCUCAUCCUGGGGCUGUAGCAGGUCCCAAGGGUUGGGCUGUUCUACA
rnacentral:rRNA from 1 species